AGGUGUUUCCUCCGGCGAGAGACUGGCUCGGCCACCGACUCGCACCGAGGGGCGGAGCGAAGCGGAGGCAGGGGCGGAGCCUGCUGCCUGUUACCUUCCUUCAUCUGCCUGGCUGGGCUGGUGGGAUUUAGGCAUCCCGGUUCCCUGCACCCCGCGCCGGGCCAGUGGGGCGGGAGCUGGGGUCGCCCCGCGGGGCGGAGCAGAGCAGGGCCGGACCGGGGACACGCGCCGGCCGCUUGUGGAGACCCCCGUAGGGGCGGGAGCCACCGCGAACCUCUGGCAGCAGCGAGCCUGCGCCGCGGAGCCAGCCGGGGCUGCCCAGCUCUCCCGCCGGGGGGCCAUGGCGCCCUGAGCGCCCCCUGCCCGCGGGGAGCCGGGCGCUGCGCUGCGCCCCCCGUGCGCCCUCGCUGCGCUGCGCUGUGCCCCGCCCGGCGCGCCGGGCAUGAAGCCGCUGGAGAAAUUCCUGAAGAAGCAGGGCUCGCACCUGGCGGGCCGGGCCGGGCCGGGCCCUGGGCCGCCUCUGCAACGUCGCCAGAGCGUCUCCAGGAUCCUGCUGCCCGGCUUCCUGCGGGAGCCCGCCGAGGAGCCGCCGGGAGGGAUGGAGGAGGCAGCGCAGCCCGGCGGGGACGGGCGCUGGCUGGAGCUGCAGCCCCCCGACGCCGCCCUCCGCUCCCCCUCGUCCUUCUCCUCCGAGGAGCUGUCCCCGGCCGGCGGCGAGCCCCCGCUCAGCCCCGGCCCCGGCGCCUCCUGCUGCUGCUGGCCCCCGGGGCCCCCCGAGCGCCUGGUGGGGGCGCUACUGGACCGGCUCGGGGGGGCCCCGGCCUCGCACGGCCACAGCUGCGGCGCAGAUGUGCUAUUGGACGACAUCAUCCUCACACACUCGCUCUUCCUGCCGACAGACCACCUGCUGCAGCAGCUGCUCCAGCAAUAUCCUUCGGGGCAGGCCCCAGCAUGGUUAGGGGGCUGGGGGUAGGGGCAGGGCUGCUCUGGGGAGGGGAACCAGGCUUUGCAGCCGAACCACUCACAGCAAGGCCUGGCUGGAUCUCCAGAGCUGAGCUGUCCUGCUCUGGGAGUGAGAUUCACCCCGCCCCUCACACCUUUGCCCAGCCGCUGGCUUCCAGUAGGAGGCACUGCCGGAUACUGCUCACCAUGGGUGAACUGGGCCCUGCUGCGCCAGCUGUGACUUCAGAUAGCACCAGCAGAAGCCUGCACCUGAGCUAUUGUGGGGUGGAUACUUGUUCUCCGGCACCACACACAUAAGCCAGUUUAACAAACAAGGAGUCUUGUGGCACUUUUAAAGACUAACAAAUGUAUUUAUCGCAUGAGCUUUUGUUUGUUAUUGUAGGGGCUCCCUGUAGGAGUUGUGCAGUGCUGGGCAUGCUGGUUUGCUCCCAAGGGGUGCUGUAGGGUUACACAUGAGCGUGGUGAGAAAUGUUCAUAUUUGUUUAGGGGGAAAACACAGUGGUCAAGUCACAAGGACAGCAUCCCCCUGGCCUCAGCCCAGGCCUGGCUGCCCAUGGCUCCCCUCUCUGCGAGACUGUAAAGCAGGGUUCGAACUUGUGGCUGGGGAGAAAGGGCGAGAUGCAAAUGUGGCCUGCCUUGGCCGUGGCUGCAGCUGGGUGCCCGACUGGUUCCCCGGAGGAAUGGGCUGAUCUCUGGGCCUGGUGCAGGCCAAGCAGUUGAGGGUGGACUUGGCUUCACUCAGCCAACAGCUGAGCUGCUGCUCGCCCUUGGGCAAAUACCCUUAUCACCAGCUGCGGAUGAUGCUGCUGAUACCACCCCAGCCUGCCCCCCCCGGAACUGGUUAUCUCCCUUCUCCUGGUGGUUGGUGGGGGCGGGGGGUCCUCUAGAACCCUGG
rnacentral:lncRNA from 1 species